rnacentral:lncRNA from 1 species
CACAGCAAGAAGGCAGCCGUCUACAUGCCAGGAAGAGAGCCCUUAACAGGAACUGACCCUGCCAGACCUUUACCUGCAGCUUCCAGCCAAAAGAACUAUCAGAUUUAUUUGGAGAAAACAGAAAUCCCACAACCCAAAGGAUGGGAUUUUACAUCAAGACAUCUCCCAGGCUGACAUUUCUUGGCAACCUACGGAAGCUGUUCUGAUGAGCCUCUGUGUUAGUAAAGAAUACAUCUCUAUAAAUGGACUGCAGUACAGCUGACCUUGGACAGGCUUAUUUGGGCCUAACUGGGUUCUAAGCUUUCUGCUGGGUUCAGCUCUUUGUACUUCAGGCAACAACACCUGAGAGGAUUUUUCUGGCAGGCGAAAAAAUGUUUGCAAUGACUUUGAUGAUACGGUGACUGAGGUGCAUAAGCAAUGGCACACAACCAAAGACUGGCUGCUACCUUCACAUUCCUUCUAAAGGGGCUAAAAGGAAGAAGUAUGGAAAAAUGUAUCCACUCAAGUAGAAAUUUUAUAUUGAGUGUGCAGUUUUGAUUUUGAAUGUCUGAUUUUGUUUGUAGGCCAAAAAAGACUGUGAUUCCA